rfam:Nicotiana sylvestris Nsyl_contig113932, whole genome shotgun sequence.
UGGACAGAUUAUUGUAUUCGACUGUAUUCACGGCAUGAAAUAGGAGAUUACACUGGUUUUAAAACGGAAAGUGAAUCAAUUAACAUAAUAUACUCCU